UGGGAUUGAAGAUGAAAAGGGAUGGGAGAUGAGAGAAACACAAAUUAGUCAUGGGAGGAAUUUUAUCAAAUUAAAAUCAUUCAUUCAUUUUGGGAGAUGAAAUGUACAUUUCAUCAAUCCCCUAAAGUCAAUGAUUUUAACUCAACAAAAGUCAAAUCAACCUUGACCAAGGCCCAAACACAUAGUCAAACAUCACAAGUCAAU
rnacentral:lncRNA from 1 species